UGGCAUGUUUUAUAUAUAUUAUAUACAUCAAACUAUCAAUAAUCUUAAUAUAUUAGUUUUGAUUAACAAAGUCCAUUAUUGUUAGGUAAAAACUUGCAAUACAGAUUUAUAGGCAUUUUGCUGGGUUUACAAUCAAAAUAAUCAAAAAUUUUCUUAAAAUUUUUUCAAUAAAAUGAGAUUGUGUCAAACAAAUUCAUUAUUCCUCUUAAAAAUUUUAAUACCUAAAAUCAUAUCCACCGGUCCUAAAUCUUUUAUAUCAAAAGCUUGAGUUAAAAAACUUUUUGUUUCAAUAACA
rnacentral:lncRNA from 1 species